rnacentral:tRNA from 1 species
UUUAAAGGAUAAAAGUAAUCCACUGGNCUUC